rnacentral:rRNA from 1 species
CAGCCGCCACGGGAAUACGGAGGGUGCAAGCGUUAAUCGGAAUUACUGGGCGUAAAGCGCACGCAGGCGGUCUGUCAAGUCAGAUGUGAAAUCCCCGGGCUUAACCUGGGAACUGCAUUUGAAACUGGCAGGCUAGAGUCUUGUAGAGGGGGGUAGAAUUCCAGGUGUAGCGGUGAAAUGCGUAGAGAUCUGGAGGAAUACCGGUGGCGAAGGCGGCCCCCUGGACAAAGACUGACGCUCAGGUGCGAAAGCGUGGGGAGCAAACAGGAUUAGAGACCCCGGUAGUCCCUGUCUCUUAUAC